GACGUAGGGCGCGAGCGUUGUCCGGAUUUAUUGGGCGUAAAGAGCUCGUAGGCGGCUUGUCGCGUCGAAUGUGAAAACCCAGGGCUCAACCCUGGGCCUGCAUUCGAUACGGGCAGACUAGAGUUCGGUAGGGGAGACUGGAAUUCCUGGUGUAGCGGUGAAAAUGCGCAGAUAUCAGGAGGAACACCGGUGGCGAAGGCGGGUCUCUGGGCCGAAACUGACGCUGAGGAGCGAAAGCGUGGGGGAGCAAACAGG
rnacentral:rRNA from 1 species